UUCUUUUGAUGAAUAGGUUUUUAUUUCUCUGUCUUAUUAUCUAGGGUUUUGAUUCUCUUACCCUAUGGAAUAGAAUCUAUCUAUUUCCUUAAAAUCUCUUCUUCUUUAUGCUUGAGGUAACCAGAUUUUGUGGAAUUUAUACAAUAAAUAGUGAUUAAUUUGGAUAUUUAGGGAUUGAAAACGAAAAUUGAACUUAGGGGUUGAUCUUAAUUGAGGAUUUUUUGCUGAAAAUUUGCGUUUUUUGUUUCUGCAUAUACGGAGGUUGGUUUUAAAUCUGAACGAGAGAUGUGUAAUUGCUAAUAGCUGAUCUUGGAAGGAAAAUCAAAACCUGGGUUUUGGAUUUUGAUGUUCAAAUGUAGUUCCUUUUUGAGUUAUUGGUUGCAGGAUUGAUGAUUUUUGUCACAAGUGAUUGUUAGAGAGUUGGGGUUGUUGAUUUAAGAAAUUAUUAUCUAAUGAAGUGAGAGUAGAGUAGAAUAAUGUACUCUUUGGAGCAGAUUCUGUGUCGGAAUCAUCGAUUGGAGCUGCUACAGAUGUAAUUUAAUUCCAGCAGGUUUCGUUUGGAUUAGUGGCUCUUUUACAAGGCUAGAAGAGUUCCUGCGACAAAGGUCACCAAGGUGACUCCUGUCCCUGGUGUUUCCUUGAAAAUGCGGCAAAGUACAAAGACUGAUGCAAGAGGGUGUUUAGCUGAUUUAUAUCUUGAAGAACAGAUAACUUGAGACCCGUCACAACAACAUCCUACUCCUUGCAUGAAAGAUGUGGAUAUAUUAGUGUCUGACUGAAUAAUCCUAAUGAAGACAAGACUGAGGUUGCUGAGAACUACAGCAUGGUCCAGUGAUUACAGAUAUUGAUUCUGAUCAGGAGGAUCCUCUGAUGUGCAGCCUCUACGCACCAGAUAUCUACAUCAAAUCACGUGUCUCAGAAGUUUUGAAGUUCCCAAUGCAAAUUGGUUUUUCAGCUUAUCUGAAGACCUUGUUUCAAUUAUAUGGAAACUUUACAAAACGACAUAAGUCAAACCAUGCGGGGCAUUUUAAUCAAUUGGCUGGUGGAGGUGUCUGAGGAAUAUAAAUUAGCUUCAAAUACAUCUACCUAACUGUAUACUUUGUCCAUCGGUUUCUAUCUCAAAAUUCAUUGAAAGGCAAAAACUUCUACUGGCUAGGGUCACUUGCAUGCUCAUGGCUUCGAAGUACGAAGAGAUUCGUGUCGAAGAGUUCUGCUUCAUCACAGAUAAUACAUACUCAGGCGACGAGGUGUGUGCCAGUUGCCACCUGAAUCUUCAACGCAGUUUUUAUUUUCCUGUUCGAAUGUUGACUAUACUCAUGGCUGGUACUGAAAAUGGAGGGCGAAGUACUAAACUAUCUGUGCUUUCAGUUAUCAGCACCUACAGUUAAAACGUUUCUUUAGGCUUGUUGCAAUCAUGGAGGCUGCAGUGAUUCACAUGUAGAGAAAACUAAUGGCUCCAAUUUAGAGGAAGAUGCGUGCACUGACUCACAGUUGGCUGACAGUGAACAGGCCACUUAUGCUUCUGCCAACAAUGACCUAAAGGGUACUAAAGCAUAUCAGGAAGCUCAUGUUCCCGGACUUUAUAAUCUUGCCAUGGCCAUAAUUGAUUACAGGGGUCACAGAGUAGUGGCACAGAGUUAUUCCUGGUAUCCUUCAAGGAGACAAAUCAGACUCACUUUUGUAUGGUUCAGUUGACAAUGGCAAGAAAAUCUGUUGGAAUGAAACAUUCCACUCCAAGGUGCUAGAAGCUGCAAAGCGUCUUCAUUUGAAGGAACAUACUGUCCUUGACGCACCUGGUAAUGCUGUCAAACUUGCUGCAGCCGUGGAGUGCAAGGGUAUUGUCGGUUCUGAUGACAGACAGUAUCUUCUGGACUUGAUGAGAGUUACUCCUCGAGAUUCAAACUAUAUAGGGCCCGGGACUAGAUUUUGUGUUUUGAGGCCUGAACUUGUUGCUGCCUUUUGCUAGGCUGAAGAUGCAGAGAGAUCACAAGUUAGUUCCGUACCUGAUGGAGAGGUACCUGUCACUGAUGCUGUCAGUCGAAUUAAUGAUUCCAAAGAGGGUGUUGAGGCAGUUGACACAGAUUACAAUAGUGAGAUAUUGUCGGCAACGGUGUUAAAUAAUAAUAAUCGUUUCUGCCUCUCUGGUAGACAGUGUGCACAAAAGCGUGAAUUGUGAUAGCGUGGGUUUCUUGGACUCGUUGCCAUUGCUACACUUUCUUCAAGAAAGUUAAAUUGCUAUCUUGUUAUGUUUUACCAUAGGAUAGAACCGAGGAGACAGAGGUCAAAGCUGCACAAGAAAUUAAGAUAGAAAAAGCUGAAAAUGGUGUCAUUUCUGAGGAGGUUGAACCCCAAUGUCCUUACGGAAUUUAAACUGGCAGGGAGAGAAGAAGUAUUUCAAGAUAACUAAAUGACAUUGCAGUAGAUUUAUCAUUUAUCUGCUCUAUUUUAUCAGGUUCCGGUUUUUUUCCUCCCUCUUAACAUCAUCUUUGUAUUAUCAGGAGUUAGCUGCAGAUGAGGAAAAUGUGAGAAAAGCUGGCUCAUAUCUUAAAGAUGUUGUUCUCCCCAAGUUUGUGCAAGAUCUUUGCACUCUUGAAGUUUCUCCUAUGGAUGGGGGGUUAUUGGUUCUUAAUAACAUAUCCUAAAUCUGUUAUUUCAUAAAAUCUGCACAGUCAGUAGUCGCUUAUCUGCGUGUCUCGAUCUUUGCUAAAACAUUUAAGACCUUACAGCCCUAUCUUAUGGCAUUUCAGUCGUAUUCCAUGGACGCUUGCUCCACUGAAGAAAGCUGAGAAGGAUGUCUCAGGAUCAAAAGUGGUCAGGAUAUUGAACAUUUAACCGACAAGAGAAUUACAGGACUCAAUCACUCUCUUAUCACAGCUCAGAAGAAGGGCGAACAACAGUUAUUCAAUCAGGAUUGGUUGCACUUCUUCCAAAUCCUUCUCUUUAUUGUAGUCCAGUGUUAUGUAUUUUUAUUAAGUCUUGGCAGUUUCAGAUGCAUUAGUCUUUGUGUUCUGACAUGACCUUGAUGGAAUAUCUCUAGGCAUUGUUUUUCUAGUCUUAUUAGCGGUGUACAAACUGAUAUGUUUAUUCCAUGUCUAUCCCAUUUGAUUUGUUUAGCUUUUCAAUCCAGGAAAACUUGUUGGAAUAUGGAUCUUCUGGUUGGUUUAUUGGUACAGUUGAAACCGACAAGUAUAGUUUGGAGCUAGUUGAAGUUCAUGCUUAACUUGAACCGUGGGAAAAAGAAACACCUGAUUGAGCAUAAAGGAAAACUUGAUGCUGCAUGUAAUGAAACUAAGCUAUUAAAAUAGAAGCAUGAGGCUACCAAGUUGCUUUUGUAGAGGCUCAACAAAAGGUGGGUGACAUAGUGAAUGAAGUUAAAGAGAAAACUGCAGGUUUGGAGAAGGUUCAAACUGACUUGGCGAAGCUAAAAAAUGAAGCAGUGGAAGUUCACGAAGUAGAACAAGUAUGUUUACAAUUUACAAUUUCAUACACACUAUAAAAACAUUGUGGAUAAUAGCUGCACACUGAAAAAAAAUUGUGGAUAACAUCUGGAUUUGGUGAGUUGCCUUGUCGUAAACAAACAUUUACUAUCAACCGAAAGGGGAAAGAUCAGGAUGCUCAACCUGCAGAAGUCACAGUUUGAUGGUGGGAAACGGUGAAGAAUUCCUACCACGUAAUGGGAGAUGGAAUUUUAACAGUAAGGUGAAUUGCUCAGAUGGCGAAUGGUUUUGUGUCUAUGAUUUUGGGAUUUGGCUGAUGUCCUUCUGGUAUGCACUUCUAUGAAAUUCCUCAUUUUACUCCCUAUCACAAUUUACUAUUACUGGGCUGCCUGUGCAUUAUCUUGGUAACUGAGGUUUAGCAAGAUCAACUAAAUGAAUGGUUUUUUAGUUGUGGAUAUUCCCUGCACAGGGUCUAGUUGUGGAUAUUCCCUGCACAGGUUAUAGAGAAUGGGUAUGAGGUCUCUGCAAACAGACACCUUGUUAUAAUGUUCUCUUGCACCCAACUACUGCGGGGAAGUUGAUAAUGCUGGUGCGAUGAUGAGUGUUGAUGAAAACCUAUUGUGAUCGUUUCAAAUACUCAAGCCUGCAGAAAGAAGGACAAGGCGUAUCAUGCCUACGAGCAUAUUAUGACCACAGCCGCUAACACUUUAUAAUGUUGCAGAGCAUCUGCGAGAAUGGCAGUGGGUGAAGAAAUACCAUGACUCCGUUAAUGUUGGUCAGAUGAAUAGGAAAUUUCACUUCCAUCUAUUUCUUUGCCUGGAAGUCACAUUUGUUUGUUUGAACAAGAUACUCAAGAAGUGAAGACCUGCAGUCUGUUAUAGAUAUAUUGUGGGCUUGAAAGUGGACUACUACGUUCAGUAAUCUAUCUCAUGUCAUUAGUCAAUUUUGAGAGCUCAAUUAACAUUCAUUUUUUAACAAAUGGAUGAUAAAAUAAAGAUGAUGGUGGUAAAAGGUUUGUACAUACCAAUUAUGCUUCUUUCCACCGGCCAGAAUCCGUGAAACCUGAAGGCCUCUACUGAAAGCAUGGUUGAAGCGCAGCCGUGCCUGGAAUUCAGACACAAAUGGGAACCAUGCCAGAACAGCUAUAGGCACAAAGAUAAUUUGUAUCCCCUGGCUAGAGACCUUGUGGCACUCCACAACCCUAGUGCCUUCAUCACUGGCUUACAUGCUUGUGAUAUCUGAUGCCACUCUCACCAAGAACACAAACAAACAAUUGAUUAACUCAACGGGUAAAGACUAAUUUCAUAGAGUACAUAUACACGACUUUAAUGCAGACAUAUUUUUUAAACUGUCCAA